GCUGGGUGUGGUGGCUCACACCUGUAAUUCCAGCACUUUAGGAGGCUGAGGUGGGAGGAUCACUUGAGCCCAGGAAUUCAAGACCAGCCUGGGCAACCUAGUGAGACCCCAUCUCUA
rnacentral:SRP_RNA from 1 species